CUAGAGUUUUUGUAGCGAAAUAAUCCUUUAGAGAUAUAUAGAACCUGGUUUUGAAAAGAAGUGUUGACUUUUCAUUCAGUUUUCGCGGUUUUCAAUUAUUUAUUCAAAGUAAAUGCAACAAGUUGUUUGAUUUUUUUAUUGUUUUGAUAGUAAUUCUGACAUUUCAAGCCAAACAGGUAGACCUCUAUACUUGCAAUUUUUUCAAAGUUGAUCUACCUUCCCUUCAUUGUACCAUGCUAGGAAAGAUUAAUUAUAGCUCUGUUCCAGAACUGCAAGAACGUAAAAGUUUUUAUAACCGAAUUUUAAUUCUUGCAUCGAAAUAAAUUGAAAACUUGUAGAUUAUUGCCAUGGUAAACUUAAGAAGGUAAAGUCAUUUCAAAUAAGCAUUUUCUGUCAAAUUACAUGGCAUAGAAAGCAGGUUCCCAUCUCUAUUUGUGUGUAUACAAUGGAUUUAUCAAUAUAAAUUUUGGCAAUGAAAUGUUCUGUAACAAAACACAUGCAUGAAGUGGUUUCAAAUUAGGGACAAAGAUUCAUUUAGAUGAUGUGCAAGAACAACGAUUUACUCAAAUGUUGGAGAGGUUCAUUCAUCUUCAGAAGUGGAAAUUUCAAAUCAUCGUGAUUGUCCUUAGAAAAAUUGGUCAAAUUGGGUGAAUUUUUAAUAAGAAUUAAAACUGAUUUCGUAUGAAGGAACUGCAUUUGCUGUUAUACUUAAAAAUUAUUCAGUUGACAACACAUCAUUGUCAAAUGUAUAUUUAUAGACCCGUUCUAUACAGGUAGAUUCAUUAGCACUUGUAAACAUUGAUAUUCCAAAAAUAUUAUAACAUUCUGGCCAAAUA